CCGACGCUCGCGCUCGCGGAUCUACAUCGGACUUCGUCGUCGCAUCGACAUCUACAUCUAAUCUACAGUAUGCACAUCUCAGGUAAAAAAAAAUAUAUAAGUACACGUAUGCAGAUACGCACAAAGAAGCAAAAGCUCGGCCUAGAGCAGUUGUCUAGACGAGGAAUGGAUAUCGGGGCGCGGUGUAAGUAUAUGGACACGAGGGGCUAUAUACGGGAGGAAGCCUCAGGGGAAGCUAAGCCGAAUCCCACCAAGUGUCGCCCAAGAGCUUACCCGGCUAGUGUUACCCUGUUUCGAGGCGACUCUGCCUGCAGCGCAGAGAAAGAGACGAAUAAGAGAUAGCUAUAUGUGUAUUCGCAUUCCACCCUUAUUGUGCGACCGUUGCGCGGAUUCGAUUGCAUUUCGACUCCUUCCGAUAUUUAUUUACUCGCAUAGAAAGGAUUGUUGCAAGUUCGAUGCUUCCUUGUUUGCAAAUGUCGCGCGAUUAAUUUUUUGUAUGUAUGGAGUGAUGAUGAUAAAUCACUCGAGGCUCGAAUGUAGGCUAGAAUAGAUGAAUUCGGGCGUUUGGUGUUGAAUGCUCGUGAGCUUUCACUCGAAUCGGCUGCUUAUUUUCUAUACAUGCAGGAUUUUCGAUCAAAACCGAAGAAUUAAUUUUAAAUCUAAUUAAAAAUAAAAAGUUUUAUUCGAAGAUAUAUUUUACAAUAAAAAUUCUAAACUCGUAUGUGUGAAUUCAUAUGUGUGUGUGAGGAUUUAAAUCUCUGUGCUAAUGUGUGAGAAUAAUAGCUUGUAAUAGAACUAUUGUAAGAAGUAUGUUCCAACAUAUCAUUUAUUUCAUUCUAAUAAAAUCGAAAUAAUCACUUGACAAGUUGAUUUUCACCCUCAUUUGUUUGGCCCAUCACUUAAAAAUUUGAAAUCCUCUGUCAUCUAUAAAAGUCACGAAUAAAUCAUCGAGUCAAUUAUCCGUUUGGCGCAUCUAAAGAAAACGUAGUAAAUAACGAUUAACAUUGUUAGGAAGAAGAAUGUCGAAAGAAGUUAUCAUGUAUACAAGCAUUCGAUGAAACUAUUAUUUUAACUUGUCGCUGAAAAUUUUCGCUUCUAAAUUUAAAGAGAAUCCUUCUGGACUUUUCUCGCGACAAGCGAGUCGCAAACGAAGAUUCGAGCCGUUUGUCCUACGAUUAUAGGAAAAACGUGAACAGUAAAAGGAGCUUAGAAUCACGAUAGGGAAAUAUAAAAAAAGUCAGCUCGUUCUAAUGCCCUGUAUCCUGAUGUUUGCGGAACGAUAUAAUUGCCUUCUUGCAGCGACGACAGCACAGUAGCAGCUAAAGUUUUUUUAAGGAUUCUCCUCGUUGACAAUAUCAUUAAACACGGCCCGUUUACUCACUCACUUAGACUCUUACAUAAUCUUUCUCUCGUACAUACACACCCACACUCGUUCGAUUUUCCAUCUUCAGCCUUAUUCUCGAAAAAGCAAAAAUUAAAACAAAAUCAUCGGUUUCUCAAAAACACACACGUGCAUACACACAGGCGAAUAUGCUUGCACACGCAUAUACAGUCAGGAUAUACAUGUACUCGGGCAUUAAAAGCUGGGCGGGCUGGCGAGCGAUUGGAUUGCCGAAGCCUCUUGCCAUUGGUCGCUGGAUUAACGCCGACCACGUGGGGACGGCCGGCUAUAUAAAGUCGCGAGCAGCCAUCGAGGCGCCGACAAUAGUGCUACGGACUCAGUGCUCGAAUCAAGUGCCUUCUUUCUUUCAAUUGUCCACCUUUGGGGCCCGCACACAUACACACCCACACGUACGCAUACACAUUCACGACUCGACGAUUUCGUGCGGCGAUAGUGUGCAGUGCUGAAUCAUCAGUGAGGAAAUUCGAAGUAUUACAAUAACGCAUAUACACACGACACGAUCCUUUUCGGGACGCGACUUUUAGUACGCAGUUACGAAGGAAGACAAUCCAGUGGAAAUUCAGCAAAGUGCCAGCAGAUCAGCAUGUGCAGCGAGCGAAUUAUUUGCAAUUAAAAGAGAAGAAGAGGAGAAGAAGAGAAAGCGGAAGAGAAGAAAUAAUGCAUAAGAAUGGACCCCAGUGCAGCUGCUGGCCACUGCACAAGAUUAGACAUAAGACUCUUGUGCGUGUGACAGCGGCUAUGAUGGGGCUUCCGUGACACAGCUUAAAAUUCGACGAGUAGCGAAAGGGAACACCGUGGAAAUAAAGGCUGUAUGUGUAUAAUAUGUAACGCUCGCAGGUAAGGUUCCCGCUCUCUUUCCUCCCUUCCGACCCCCGCGAAGACCUACCGCAACGCUCGACUGACUGUACGUAUGUAUCGCUUUCGCCGUCGCCUACGACCUGCGGCUUAUACAAUAUAUUACGGAAGCUACGGAAAUCGGAGAUCGACGGACACUGCUCGAUUACCUACCCCCCCCCCCCCUUAUCUACUUGGCGCACAGGGAAGAGAGGACAGGUCGAAGGCAAUGUGAACGACACUUCUUCAAAUAUAAAUAACUUUAUUUUUCAUCUCUUGUGUGUAUGCGUGUAUAAGAGCUAUGCCUCGGAAACUCAGUAAUAUAGAUUUAUUUUCGGUAAGUAACCAAAAAGCGCGUGUACGUGUGUUGCAUAUACGUAUAUUGUCGAUUAUCACAUCAAUGCCUUUGAUUAAGUCUAUCAUUAUCAUCCCUGGUAGAAAAUUAACGAGUGAAACCCGUUAAAAAGUUAAGUUUAGUUGACCAUUAUUAUCAAAUUGAAUGUAAAAAGCAAAAUGUUGCUAAUAUUUUAGUGAUGCGUGUCUAUUAUACCAACACAGUAUUAUUUUUAAGUUAAAAAUUGUUUUUUCCUUUUUUUCUUGCAUUAAAACGUUUGCAUCUUUUAUUACAAAUAUUUGGAUUUUUCACUAUUGCAAGAUAUUUUUCUAUAAUUUCUGGAUUGUAACAGUCAUUUGACAAAUUUCAAGCAAAUGUUCUGUUUUAUCUUGAGUUAAUGUGUAUAUCUAUGCAUUUAUAAUGUUUAAACUCUUAUUUAUUUAAAUUGUUAACCACAACUUAGCUAGGUGGCCCAAAAUUUAGCUUAUUAACCGUUAACGUUUCUACCAGGGAUAUCCGUGUGUCAAACAGAAUCGCUGAGCGCAAACAACAAAUCAACUUUGUUUUUUUUCUAUUUCUUUUUUUUACGAUGAAACACCUAUGGUUCGCUUGUAUACUUUCAAGUAUCGAAAAAUAUAUGCUAUUUCAGAAAACACUUUAGCAAAUGCAUUGUGAUUAGAUUACGUACAAAGAGUGAGAAGUACAACGCUACGAGCUGAUUUACACGCCAGUUAAAAAAUCAGCAUCGGUGCUCACUGCGAAACAUUCGACGCGCUUACAAUUCUUGCCGUCGCUAUCACAUUGUAUACUUUCGUCCUCUCGUGAAUUAUACUUAUUAACUUGCUCGGGCAAAUCUGUUAUCCCAAUACACCAUGUAGUGGUAUCGUCAAUAUCUGAUGAUCCUACAACAAAAAUUCAAACAUACUGCAGGCUGAAUCUGAAUAUCAAGUUAACUCACUCGGACCCAUGUUCUCUCAUGUCUCCCCUGGUGGUGCAUUAGGACGAGAUAUGCAAUGUAGAGACUUGUAUGUAUAGCGAAUGAAUAAAAACAUAUAAAACUGUUCUUGUAUUCCAUAAGAUAUGUGUAAUCAAC